rnacentral:rRNA from 1 species
UACAGAGGUCUCAAGCGUUGUCCGGAUUUAUUGGGCGUAAAGAGCGUGUAGGCGGCCAGACAGGUCCGCUGUGAAAACUCGAGGCUCAACCUCGAGAUGUCGGUGGAAACCGUCUGGCUAGAGUCCGGAAGAGGAGAGUGGAAUUCCCGGUGUAGCGGUGAAAUGCGCAGAUAUCGGGAAGAACACCCGUGGCGAAGGCGGCUCUCUGGGACGGUACUGACGCUGAGACGCGAAAGCGUGGGGAGCGAACAGG